rnacentral:rRNA from 1 species
GGGAAACUGCCCGAUGGAGGGGGAUAACUACUGGAAACGGUAGCUAAUACCGCAUAACGUCGCAAGACCAAAGUGGGGGACCUUCGGGCCUCACACCAUCGGAUGUGCCCAGGUGGGAUUAGCUAGUAGGUGGGGUAAUGGCUCACCUAGGCGACGAUCCCUAGCUGGUCUGAGAGGAUGACCAGCCACACUGGAACUGAGACACGGUCCAGACUCCUACGGGAGGCAGCAGUGGGGAAUAUUGCACAAUGGGCGCAAGCCUGAUGCAGCCAUGCCGCGUGUAUGAAGAAGGCCUUCGGGUUGUAAAGUACUUUCAGCGGGGAGGAAGGCGGUGAAGUUAAUAGCUUCACCGAUUGACGUUACCCGCAGAAGAAGCACCGGCUAACUCCGUGCCAGCAGCCGCGGUAAUACGGAGGGUGCAAGCGUUAAUCGGAAUUACUGGGCGUAAAGCGCACGCAGGCGGUCUGUCAAGUCGGAUGUGAAAUCCCCGGGCUUAACCUGGGAACUGCAUUCGAAACUGGCAGGCUAGAGUCUUGUAGAGGGGGGUAGAAUUCCAGGU